AUUGAACGCUGGCGGCAGGCCUAACACAUGCAAGUCGAACGAGUGGCGGACGGGUGAGUAAUGUCUGGGAAACUGCCUGAUGGAGGGGGAUCACUACUGGAAACGGUAGCUAAUACCGCAUACCAUCAGAUGUGCCCAGAUGGGAUUAGCUAGUUGGUGGUGUAACAGCUCACCAAGGCGACGAUCCCUAGCUGGUCUGAGAGGAUGACCAGCCACACUGGAACGUAAACACGGUCCAGACUCCUACGGGGGGCAGCAGUGAGGAAUAUUGCACAAUGGGCGCAAACCUAAUGCAGCCAUGCCGCGUGUAUGAAGAAGGCCUUCGGGUUGUAAACUACUUUCAGCGGGGAGGCGUUACCAGCAGAAGAGGCACCGGCUAACACCGUGCCAGCAGCCGCGGUAAUUC
rnacentral:rRNA from 1 species